UUAGUGGCGCACGGGUGCGUAACGCGUGGGAAACUGCCCCUUGGUUCGGAAUAACAGUUGGAAACGACUGCUAAUACCGGAUGAUGACGUAAGUCCAAAGAUUUAUCGCCGAGGGAUGAGCCCGCGUAGGAUUAGGUAGUUGGUGUGGUAAAGGCGCACCAAGCCGACGAUCCUUAGCUGGUCUGAGAGGAUGAUCAGCCACACUGGGACUGAGACACGGCCCAGACUCCUACGGGAGGCAGCAGUGGGGAAUAUUGGACAAUGGGCGAAAGCCUGAUCCAGCAAUGCCGCGUGAGUGAUGAAGGCCUUAGGGUUGUAAAGCUCUUUUACCCGGGAUGAUAAUGACAGUACCGGGAGAAUAAGCUCCGGCUAACUCCGUGCCAGCAGCCGCGGUAAUACGGAGGGAGCUAGCGUUAUUCGGAAUUACUGGGCGUAAAGCGCACGUAGGCGGCUUUGUAAGUAAGAGGUGAAAGCCCAGAGCUCAACUCUGGAAUUGCCUUUUAGACUGCAUCGCUUGAAUCAUGGAGAGGUCAGUGGAAUUCCGAGUGUAGAGGUGAAAUUCGUAGAUAUUCGGAAGA
rnacentral:rRNA from 1 species